AAGCUUGCUUCUUUCAAAUCUAGUGGCAAACGGGUGAGUAACACGUAAACAACCUGCCUUCAGGAUGGGGACAACAGACGGAAACGACUGCUAAUACCGAAUACGUUCCUUAGGUCGCAUGAUCUUAGGAAGAAAGGGUGGCCUCUACCUGUAAGCUAUCGCCUGAAGAGGGGUUUGCGUCUGAUUAGAUAGUUGGUGAGGUAACGGCUCACCAAGUCGACGAUCGGUAGCCGGACUGAGAGGUUGAACGGCCACACUGGAACUGAGACACGGCCCAGACUCC
rnacentral:rRNA from 1 species